rnacentral:rRNA from 1 species
AUCUGGGCGGCGGAAUUCAGGACGGUCGGGCGGGCCUGGCGCUCGUCGGGCCGUUUGAUAUUUCCGUCGCCGUGUCAGACGUCGCGACCUGUUCGUCGUCGGUCCUUGCUCGGAGGAAGCGCGAUCGAGUUCGUUGCGGGCGCGUUUCGGCGCGUUCCGCGGCGAAGACGCGACUCUCUGGCUGGCGACGGACAGUAAGCAACGGUGUCCGGCGUCGUGUCUCGCACUCGACGUCGGUGCCGGUCGGCGACGAUUUCUUCGGGCCUCUUUCCGACCCGUCUUGAAACACGGACCAAGGAGUCUAACAUGCGCGCGAGUCGCGGGGUUUCGAGCGUGCCACGGUGCGCUCGUUACUUCCGAAACCCGUACGUUGAAGGCGUAAUGAAAGUGAAUAGGGAAGAUGGCGUUCCGAGUCCACGUACCGUGAUCGAGUAUCGCGGCCGGACGUCCGCACUCCCGGGGCGUCUCAAUGGCUCGCCACGGAUGCGGACGGUCGUCUCUCGGGGCGGCCGUCGGUCUGUGGCGGUCCGA